ACAAAAGGACACACAGAAAGGGCAAAUCAGCAGAAUUGUGUUUUGAUCAGCAUCCCUUCAGUCUGGCUGCUUUUAAGAAUUUUGUAGUUAUUACUAUUUUCUUGUCACUUGAUUUUCAGUUGGGGUGACAGGUGUCCCAAGUGAAAUGAUCCCAAAAGAGGUCAGGCAAUGUACAGUAUUAUCAGCACAGACUGCAGUGUAAGCAAAUUGGUAUACAAAAAGGCUAUUACCCAUACUCACAAGGCACAGGAAAGUAUAAGUCACUAAUAUCAAGUGGACUCGUGAUCUCAACAAAAAGAAACAACUUCCAGAGCUUUGAAAAAGAACAGUGUAGAAGAAAUGACAAUCACACAGGUAGUAUCCUGGUGGUAUUGGUAAUUCCCAAUCUCCCCAAAGAUUUCGUGAUUUCAUGGCAUAUCACUGCCGUGGCAAAUGAACCAUUUGGAAGACAGCAUUUUUCUUUGAAGAAGACAUCUGGAGGUUUUAAAAUUGAAUUUGAAGCUGUGACAUCCAGUCUGCUUCCAGUGCAUGUACCAUUUCUCGAAAAUGGACACCGAUUUAAACAGGACUCUAGAAAAUCUGAUGACUGUUUUGAAAAAGCAAGAAGACUCUUUGAAAACAACUGAAUUAUACCAUUGUGUUUUAGAAUAGUCUAUAUUCUAAAUAAUCAAUAGGAAAGAGAAUAUUAAUGCUGAUGUAUUGCAAACAGGGAAGAAAGCAGGUCACAGGUGGUCCUGGUCACCAUCCCAAGAUCACUCACUUAACUCCUGAGUGGACAGUUAGGUGUGGGAUCUUUAUUAUCUGAGUUCUGGUUCAGUGUCCUUUUCACUGCUCUCCCAUCUGCUACAAGAGGAAAGGGAAGACAGGUGUAUGGAAAACAGAAAAGUGGCUACUUCCACAUGUCAUUAGGAAGUCUAUAAGUGGCUUUGAAAUUGGCUCAUCAAGGGAAAAACAGAAGCUAUACUAAUAAACUCAGUGCCUAAUGAGCAUGACUAAAUCUUUUUGCAGUGUUCAGAUUUGCCAUACUUUAAUCCUUUGUGAAAUAAAAUGCAAC